UGACCGACAGCAAGGGGGCGGCAUCGCAGGGCCGCGCGGGCCACUGAAGGCGCGGGAGUCGCGAGUGAGGAGGACACGGGGGAGCCGACCCUGGGGACCGCGCUGCCGCCCCGAGGACUCCGCUUCCCACAGGGAAGGAACGGGAAGACCUCCGAGGAUUCCGAGCAGAGCAGAGACGCGCACUGAAACUUCAAAAGGAACGGGGAAGCGGUUCUUCCCGGCGGGCGGUGACCGCAGCAACGGCCGCGUCCCCGGCACGGCGCCCCCUUCCAGCCGGUCCCCGCUGCCAGUGCCGGCUCUUGGCGCCCGAAGACCCGGGGCCUCCUCUCUCCCGAACCGUCAACGUCCGGGACCCGGCGGCCGGAACAAAUGACGGGAAGGUGGCCUCCGAAAUCCCUGCCUUCUCUCUCCUUCCGAAGACGCACAGAGUCGUCCGGGCGGCCCGGCCCCCACCUCCUCACGCCAAGAGCCCAAAGACUCGAGGUCGGGCUCGAGAGCGAAAAGCGGGCCAACCGUCACUAUUCCAGCGGCGUCUAUUCCAGCGGCACCUGCGAUCACGAGCCCUGCACGCCGCUGCCUUUCCGCACACGCUUUGACAGGGAGGGAGGAAGAGGAGCCCAAGGCCCACGUAAAACCAAACGAGACCAAACCCGAGUCUCGUCAGUUGGCAGCCAGGGCCCUGAGAAAAGUACCAGGUGCUACAAAUCUUCCGGACGAAGAACAUGGUUUCGAACGAGGCAGCGAGGGAACCUUCCGACCUGCACGAGGCCAGGGGACACCCGACAAGAAGCUCUGGGAACGGCAGCGGGAGGGGAACAAGCAGGACGGUCUCCCGGCUCCCAACGGGAAAGGCACGGGUGUCCAGCCUGAAGUUCCAGGCGCGGGAACAACAUCAGGAAAAAUUUCCAAAGGACCUGAAAUUUGGUUUUCACUUACUUAGCCCCAGAUAAGCACAAGGUGUGAUUAAAAUGGGGCAGAGGGAGGCGAACGAGAGAAGUUUAAGCUCAAUUAUCAAUAUCAAAAGAAGAAUUUUAUGUUCUUGUUAAAAAUUUUAGAAACUGAAGAGAUUUAAACAUUUUUUUUUCCUGAACACUUAUUCCUUAAAGCGUAUGAGAAUUAAAAUGUUGGGAGUCUAUUUUUCCACUAAUAACCUAAAACAUUUGAUCCUACAAUUUUAAACCAGAGGUAGACAAGGCUGGAUGCACCUCAGAAUCUCACAGAAGCUUCUGGAUAAGGGCCUCACCCAAGACUAUCUGAACCAGAAUCUCUAGGGCGGGGCCCUGGCAAGGUUUGCUUGUUUUUGAAAAGUCUGCUCCAGGUGAAAUUUACCAGUGGCACACGGAACUUCAGAAAGUUUAGGAAAGGAGUUUUUUCUUUUGGUUUUACGUGACAAGUGGUGAUGGUAUACUCUGUAAAAGGUGUCUUUCAGAAUAUCUGACCUGCACUCGACAGCUGGAUUGUGGAAAGUGUGCACACGUUUCUAAGGAUACGUUUUUCACUUCCAUACAACUGAACACCGCAUGCGGCCGCCUGGGCCCAAGGAGGCAGUGCAGUUCAUGCUGGAUACGUACCAUUGUCUAUGAAACCACAGCGGUUUACCAAAAACCAGGACAUUAUGAUUAACUGAAGGUCGAAAGGAAAAACAUCCUCGUUACUGAUCAUCUCUUUAAGUACUAGCCUACUGUGCAACCCUACCAUCAAGUACAUUUUGUGUUCGCACAGGAAGUAACUACAUUGUUUUUCGAUCUUUGAGGACCUUGCAGGGCCUGAAAGUCAUGCUGAACAUCAACGCUGAAUGUUAAGAGGUGGCUUAUACAGAGUGCAGGUGCCUCUGGUGGCUCCAGGACAUACCCUACAAACCCGCAUACUGAAUAAUCCUUGUUACCACUGUGUUUUGUUAGUUGCUUCUUUUUCCUAAAGGAAAACACAGAAAGAGAUUUUAGUUUAGUUCUAUUUGUUUUAACUUUGCUUAGACUCAAAAUACACAUUCUAAGGCUGGAUCCAGACAGACAUAAAAAUGGCAAAUUUGUCUUUAGUGACCCAGCAUCCCAGGAUCUUUCUCCCCUCCGUGAAUUACAACCCAUUCAAAGAAUCUUGAGGAAACAGAAAUUUAACAGUGAACACAUAAACAGAGAUUGUUCCAGGCGGCCAGGUCAGACAGAUUCUACUAGAAGGAGGAGGAAGUAAUAAUAAUAAACAGUGAAUUCACCAUUUUCUAAAUGCUUCCUGGGUAACAGGCUCCAAAUCCACAUUUCACUGAAUCGAAACCAAGAGCCUGCAAGCUAGGCGCAAUGAGGCUUGACUUGCCUAGUAAGCAGCAGGAGGCAGCUCCAAUCCUGCCCAGCCCGGUUUCCAAGCCCAGCCUGCCUGCAGGAGCCCCUGCCGGAUCAUGAAACACUCACUCCAACAGCCAAAGAGGGCGACCUUCACAACAUACAAUCUUCUAGCAGGCCAGCAGAAAUCAAUUAUAAUGCCAGCACCUGGGAACACACAAAACACCUUCACACGGAGGCUUUCCAUUCGAUAGGAAAAAAGAAACUAUCACUACGAACACAGGGCACUGAUAGUAAGGCGGUGGCAUACUGGCGGAGGUGCCUCACGGUACUCUCCACAACACUGAAAUAUCCCACAAAUACUGAAAGGCCUAAGCAUUCACACUAGGCCAAGGCGAUUUACACAACACACCGAAGGUGAGCAUCCAGGUAACCCUUAAGCUCACACAUAGGGCCUCGUCUAGAGACAGGUAAACCCUGGAACGCUUACCUGCUCCCUCAGCUCCAAGAAGGAUACGGCAGCUCCUGCCAUUACCCUUGCUUACCUCUCUCCACCAGCCCGUCUCAUCCAGCCUCUAGGCAAGGCAGUGUGGUAGUCCAGUGUGGCCGAACACCGGUUCGGAGCGCCGAGGACUGGAUCUGAAACCCAGCUCCCCUAUCAGUAGCCAUGGGCCCUGAACAAAAGCUGACCUCCCUGUAUGAUCAGUUUCCCCAGUAGGAAAUGUUAGUAGUAAGACUACAAGUUCACAGGUUGUGGGGAGAAUUAAAUGAGUUAGUACAGGAAAAAGGUUUGCAAUUAAGCCUGACACAGAGGAAGCAGUAAACACUAGCUACCACCACCACCACCGUUAUUAAAACGAUGGUGUUCUCCUUCGUCCAAAUAGAAAUUCUUUUACUGUUCCACCCUACCGCGAGAGAAUGAAUUUACAGAGCUGUCCAGUUUCCUAAAACAUAUUAAACUGAAAAUGAUGGAUGUAAGACUGUAAUGCAAAGAAAAUAUCUCUAGUUGGGCAUCAAAGCCUGAUAAUUUUUCCCAAAAAAUCCCACAAAAUCUAAGUAUUGGCUUUUGAAAUAUCAAGAGGACCUUCUUUCAAGUCUACCCUUUCAAAAAGAACUAAAUGUUCCUUUACAUUUUUUUCCCCGAAAGUAAUAUAUUCUUACAGAGAAUCUAGAACAUAUAGACUAGGAAGCAGGAAGAAUUAAAAGGCAUUCGUAGUUGUACCACUGAAGAUCAGCGCCAUUAACAUUUUGGCAAUCUUUCUGCAAAUAUUUAUACAGUUUCUUCUUUGUUUUCAAAGGUGUGAUCAUUCUACACAUAACUUUAUAUCUUGGAGCCUACUUUUUUCACUUAACAUAGCACUUUCCUUUUAAUAUUUUGCUUCAAUUAUGAAGUUAUGAAAGAAAUAUCUGUACAAUAUAGGGAAAAAUACAAUUAGAACAUAUAAACUGACAAAAAGAAUUUCUUUUUACAAAUCAUCCA